AUUGAACGCUGGCGGCAGGCCUAACACAUGCAAGUCGAGCGGAUGAAGGGAGCUUGCUCCUGGAUUCAGCGGCGGACGGGUGAGUAAUGCCUAGGAAUCUGCCUGGUAGUGGGGGAUAACGUCCGGAAACGGGCGCUAAUACCGCAUACGUCCUGAGGGAGAAAGUGGGGGAUCUUCGGACCUCACGCUAUCAGAUGAGCCUAGGUCGGAUUAGCUAGUUGGUGGGGUAAAGGCCUACCAAGGCGACGAUCCGUAACUGGUCUGAGAGGAUGAUCAGUCACACUGGAACUGAGACACGGUCCAGACUCUACGGGAGGCAGCAGUGGGGAAUAUUGGACAAAGGGCGAAAGCCUGAUCCAGCCAUGCCGCGUGUGUGAAGAAGGUCUUCGGAUUGUAAAGCACUUUAAGUUGGGAGGAAGGGCAGUAAGUUAAUACCUUGCUGUUUUGACGUUACCAACAGAAUAAGCACCGGCUAACUUCGUG
rnacentral:rRNA from 1 species